GGUCCUGUUUCAGACCUGUCAGUCUCAUGUAGACGUUUGGAUACUGCAGCAGCAGAUCUCUGUCCUCAGGCAAUGAGAUCAAGCCCAAAGCGUGACAAGAUAAUGACAAGAGACAUUUUAACAACUGCACAAGUAAAGAGAGAUCUGGGAAGAUGGUGCGUGAAGCUGGUAGCUGAGACAUCUUCAUGGGGCUGGCAGCUAUUACACAGCGCCUGUGGGAUGGCAGCGCUCGCCUGGAGCAGCAGCUGGAAAUGGAGCAGAAUUGCAUAUGCAAUGGCACUGGCCACCUAUUCGUUCUGAGCACCUUUUUCCUGUCCUUACCAGGACAGAUUUCAAGAAGAAGGAUCUCCACAAUUACAUCCCGACAAAAAGGAUUGAGAUGUCGUCUGUCUUCUAUUUCUCUUCUGAAACCAGAGUGAUGGGAAGUUAUUGAAAGUGAGCUCUGUGCACACUCUUCAAUCAAAAAUGGUUGAAAGACAAAGCAGAACUACAAGCCAGUGGCUGUAAACUCACCUGGAGUGACAGACUCAACCUAUCUGCAGCGCUGCUGAAUGUGAGGAACCAGAUUCGGUCUUACAAUAUGACAGCGAUUCUGGUUUCUGUUAUUUGCUUGCUGGUUAUCUCAAGCCAAAGUGACUCUGCAGAGAACCUCACAUCAUAUGACACCAGUCAACUACAUACUGUUUAUCUUCACUGCAGGAUAAUAAAGAGAAACAAAGCUAUCUGGCCUAAAUUGCAGGACAGCCUGCAAUUUGACUUGCGGUUUUUCAAGGACUUCUGCACUCCACAGUUCAGCACCUACAAGAAAAAAGACUCACAGAGCAAGCAGACAGAGGAAAUAACAGCAAGAGACAGAAUCCUGUAUUAAGCUGGAGUCAGGACAUGGUUGUUAAAAAGGAUGUUACCUCAGCCAUUAUAAAAGCGAAAGGGAUGAGCUGAUUUGGAAAACAAGCAGAAGACAAAAUGGGCUGAAGACUGUAAAUUAUAAAGCUGGGAAAACUGAUGAAGAGGACUAUCUUUUCAAAGAUCAAAUACAGCUAUUUGCAGCAAAACUGUAGGAAACAAGUAGGUUUUGCUCUCUUGUGUGGUGAUUCUGAGGAAGCAUCCAUGCUUGAGUAGGGUGUCAAAUGAGUGCAUUUGCUGCCCUUCCAGGAGACCAGAUGCUGGCAAGCUGGGCAAUAGGCUGAGGGACAGCAUGGGAGAACUGCUUAAAGCAUCGACAUGGGUACCUUUGCCAUUUUCUCAACCAACUCCUUUCUGUCCCUCCCUUUGCAAGGAAGGGGACAGGCAGAGGAGGGAAAAGAAAGAAACAAAGAAUAUGUCAUUAAAAAUAUAAUGAGGUGAAGGAAAGGGCACUUGAAAGUAGGGAUCUGGCAGACAGGCCAAACUCUUGAAGCCGUAGAAAGCAUUAUUGAUAGGGUGAUAUCAAUAAUGAAUGUGAAUGGGAGGUAAGAAGCUGAGAGGAGGAUGCGAGUGCAGGUUUGCAGUAAAAGAAGAGGGAUGAAGCACACUUGGGCUAAUGAGGCAGUGGCUGCUGCACUAGGGGCAGGAGGUUACUUGCUCUGACUUCUCUUUUGGCUUUGCAAAUGCAGGGAGGAAGUGGAAAGAUUACGGGAUCUUCCCUUUCUGGUACAGCUGCUGGAGAAAUCUCUCCUGUUCUCUAUGUCGCACUGAGGUCAAACGAGUGUCAGCUCUUUUAGAGAAAAAGAAAUGAUAAAAUCUGCACAAGGGCAGAAGGUGGAAGAGCAGAGUCAAAGUGUGGAGCUGGAGAUGCAGUCACAGCGUCACCUCUGUAGGGGAGUGCUUCACUUCAUGUUCAGACAAGGAGUGCAGUGUGGUUUCUGGUAGGUGUCCUCAUGCUGGUCAUUGAGUAAAAAAGACUGCAGACCUGUGUGGCUGUUCUUCCAUAAGACUAGGUCCCCAAUACACGUUAUGUUAACCAGCAGGUGGCGUUUGGAUGUUUCCUUCAAGUAUGGCAACCACAAACUACUUUUCUCUUGUCCUCUCUUCCAUGUUUUUGCUAAGUACAUUGAAGUACCUCUCAAAUUACUGUUCAUUGAAGGUAAGAGAAGAUUAUUCUUCUCAGUACUGCCCAACUAAGACUCACAAUGACUAAAAGGAAAUUGCUUCUAGUCAGCUAGGACUUGAUCCUGUUGUUAUUGACUUUGGAAGAGCUGAAAAACCUGUGCUUAAAGUUACUUACAUGCAUCUUCUUGUUUUUGCAGUUCAGCAAAUACCACACACAUUUUAGGAACAUCUUUGGAAUCCCUGAAUGUUCCAAAGACAGAACAUUUCUCUGGAAAUCUCAGGGGAUUUUCUUAACGGAUUUCAGCAUCUUUGAACUUCCUCUCAGAAUGGAAAGGUAAAUUUAUGUUCUUGUCAUUUUUGGUGUUUCUAAACAGGAAUAUGAAAAUAAAGGCUAAAAGCAGCUCUGUAUUGGCUGAUUUCUUCUUCAGAACUUCCCAGAAAAUAAGGUUAAAAACCCAGAAUAUUGGUAUUUUGGAAGAAAUCAUGCUAAUUCUUUACUGACUCGUCUCUAUUUACCUAACUCUUAUGCCUUUUCCUGUUAGUUUCCAAGGAAGACUGACCCUUCUCCUCUACUCACCUGGUUAGUGCUGAAGACAUGAGUUCUCAAACCUAGAUUGAGUGCACCCAUCAGUGUCUAAAACAAUCUUUGAAAUUUAAGGAUGAGGAUAAGAACAUAAAGUUCUCCUCAGUAUAAGUGCAAAGCACAUCAGAAAGUAGAUUUGAAAAUCCAAUCAAUCUCUCUAAGGACUGAAACAAUUAGAAGUGAUAGAAAUAUGUAAAUAAAUGUCCUUUCAGUAGCUGACAUAAGCAGAAAUUCUUUUUUUUUUUAAAAAAAAAAAAGCAUGUUAAAGGCACAUAUUCUAAAUAGAUAAUUACUUUAUCAUCUGUUCACUGACAUUUUUUGUCUUUCCUGUUUUCUUGAUAUUUAGACUCUGGUGAGAAAAGUUUGAUAUAUGCCCUCAGCUAAUGAUAUUUUUUUCUGUUAACAUAGCAUUUGUCACUGGAUAACCUUUAGGAGAGCUUUUCUAGGGUGUAAUUUCCAUGAAACUGGGAGAAAUGGAAUUAUUUCUUGCCUCAAGCUAAACUGAAUUUAUCUCUUACUAAAAUCUCAGUUGUUUCUUUGUGUUGCCUCUAGGUGUUGCAGUACUCUCUCCGACUUGUGAGGGCUCAUUUAUACCUUGAGAACCUCAGAUAAGUUACCCUAGAGAAGAAUUAGAUCAUAUAGGUUUUAAACAAUUAUUUAGAACCUAGUACCUAGGAUAAAGGGCAGUAAAAACCCACGAUAUCAUCUAGUCUGGGCACCAGUGAGUGCAGUCUUGUGCCUUUUAGAUAUAGUUAAGUGCACAUUAUGUAGUGUUCAUCCCCCUGAGAGCAUCUUCCACAGCCCGAGACCCUGCAGCACCCAGGAGCGUUUCCUGACACUCACUGUACCACUUGCCUCACUUAAUAUCAUCCCAUUACUCUUAGUUACGGCCCUUUGAUUCACUUUUUUAAAUCCUCGCUUUUUGGCUGCAUAAACCUGCCAUACAUUUACAGGCAGAUACAUGUUGUGUUAUCCAGUGCACAAAGAGUGCAGCACACACUUUGCAGUGGACAGUUGUGAAAAGAAGUAGAGAAGAAACCUUAAUAGAUUGUGUUUGACUACAUGUGGAUAAAAAGAGCAGAGCACGGGGUGCAGUUCCUCUAGCCCCAACAUAUAUAUAUAAAGAAAGUUGAUAAGCAAUAUCCUAAAAGUGGCCACUUUCCUCCGCUGUGUAUAAAGAGGGUCUUCUCUGGUUAGAGGUUGUGUAAAAGUCCACACUGUUACCUAGAUACCUUUAGAUGCCUCAACCUAGGUGAGAUAUACUCCACUUGAGGUCACUGUGGUGAACCUUCCCACAAAAUAGCAGAUGUCUCAGGGGUUGUGUCCUCUCCAGCACUGAGAAAAGCAGAGAAAAGGAAAAAAGUCUCAUCCCUCCUCAUUGUCACCACUGUGUAGCCUGGAUCAUCACUCCCAUCAUUGCAUAAUUGUGUCUUCGUCCUACAAGGUGCUGAGUGCUCCAAUUCCAGCCUCUAAGUGUCAACCCACGGGCACUGAAGUGUCCCCUGGACUCUUAUGUUUAGGGGACAACAUGAACAAUUUGUCUGGUCUACCUUUGGGACACAUUUCUUCAUAAAGCCCCAGCUGGCGGUCUGAAAAGCAGUGAGUAGUGCUUUCACAUAUAAUGAGUCUAUGUGUGGAGGCAUGAGUUCAGGCAUUCCUUAAUCCUACAGCUUAAUUCGACAUAAUAAUUAAUAAGGGAAGGAGGAAAGCAAA